CAAUUUGCAUAAUUUGCAGCAGCACCACAACAAAAGGAGCUUAUCCUCUGGAACACAACCGUCACUCUAAUACUCUACCCUUCAAUCAUCGUUCACUGGGUUCAACUUUUUCCAGCGCUGACAUUUGAUACGCGUGCAAAGAAUGUAACCUUAUCUUUGACACUUGUAUAAAAAGACCAUGGCAGUGAGCUUGUAUGUUAGGGGCUGGCGUAAUCCCCCCACACACUGCCUGCUUGCGUGUAAACAGCUUCUAGCAGCUUCCUCCAUUCUUUCGAUAGAUGACUGUUGAGUGAAGUGUUGUGAGCAGUAGAGAGGCAAGGAGGCUUCUUAACUGGACAGUUGACCAUCCCUCCCACCGUGUCAACGAUGGCCAUCCGGCAUACACUGUGAAACGCAUCCUGGGUGUUCGACCACAGGGCAGGGGUUUCCAGUAUCUGGUUGACUGGGAGAGUUAUGGCCCGGAGGACAGGUGCUGGGUUCCCACUAGAGACAUCCUGCACCGACUUUCACCGCCGACAUCCCGGUCAGCCAGUCUCUGUUUUUCCUAGACCUCCUGGUUUUGACCCUUGCCUGUCCUGACACCAAAUCCGCCUGCCUGACCACUCUACCUGGUCUGACCUCGAGCCAGCCUAUCCCCUUGUACUGUUUGGACUCUGACCUGGUUAAUGAACUCUCGCCUGUCCCCAACCUGCCU